AUUGAGCGCUGGCGGCAGGCCUAACACAUGCAAGUCGAGCGGAUGAAGGGAGCUUGCUCCUGGAUUCAGCGGCGGACGGGUGAGUAAUGCCUAGGAAUCUGCCUGGUAGUGGGGGAUAACGUCCGGAAACGGGCGCUAAUACCGCAUACGUCCUGAGGGAGAAAGUGGGGGAUCUUCGGACCUCACGCUAUCAGAUGAGCCUAGGUCGGAUUAGCUAGUUGGUGGGGUAAAGGCCUACCAAGGCGACGAUCCGUAACUGGUCUGAGAGGAUGAUCAGUCACACUGGAACUGAGACACGGUCCAGACUCCUACGGGAGGCAGCAGUGGGGAAUAUUGGACAAAGGGCGAAAGCCUGAUCCAGCCGUGCCGCGUGUGUGAAGAAGGUCUUCGGAUUGUAAAGCACUUUAAGUUGGGAGGAAGGGCAGUAAGUUAAGACCUUGCUGUUUUGACGUUACCAACAGAAUAAGCACCGGCUAACUUCGUG
rnacentral:rRNA from 1 species